CCGGGUGUGUAAGCGCAGCGAUGCGUUGAGCUAACCGUUACUAAUGAACCGUGAGGCUUAACCUUACAACGCCGAAG
rnacentral:rRNA from 1 species